CAGUAGCCACGGUAAUACGAAGGGGGCUAGCGUUGCUCGGAAUCACUGGGCGUAAAGGGUGCGUAGGCGGGUCUUUAAGUCAGGGGUGAAAUCCUGGAGCUCAACUCCAGAACUGCCUUUGAUACUGAAGAUCUUGAGUUCGGGAGAGGUGAGUGGAACUGCGAGUGUAGAGGUGAAAUUCGUAGAUAUUCGCAAGAACACCAGUGGCGAAGGCGGCUCACUGGCCCGAUACUGACGCUGAGGCACGAAAGCGUGGGGAGCAAACAGGAUUAGAUACCCGGGUAGUCCCUGUCUCUUAUAC
rnacentral:rRNA from 1 species